UACGUAGGGUGCGAGCGUUGUCCGGAAUUAUUGGGCGUAAAGAGCUCGUAGGCGGUUUGUUGCGUCGGCUGUGAAAUCCCGAGGCUCAACCUCGGGUCUGCAGUCGAUACGAGCAAACUAGAGUGUUGCAGGGGAGACUGGAAUUCCUGGUGUAGCGGUGAAAUGCGCAGAUAUCAGGAGGAACACCGGUGGCGAAGGCGGGUCUCUGGGCAGUUCCUGACGCUGAGGCGCGAAGGCCAGGGGAGCAAACAGG
rnacentral:rRNA from 1 species